rnacentral:rRNA from 1 species
AACGAACGCUGGCGGCAGGCCUAACACAUGCAAGUCGAACGAAGGCUCCUCUUCGGAGGAUGUCCUUAGUGGCGCACGGGUGAGUAACGCGUGGGAAUCUGCCCAUUGGUGGGGAAUAACUUCGGGAAACUGAAGCUAAUACCGCAUAAGCCCUCAGGGGGAAAGGCUUCGGCCGCCGAUGGAUGAGCCCGCGUUGGAUUAGCUUGUUGGUGGGGUAAUGGCCUACCAAGGCGACGAUUCAUAGCUGGUCUGAGAGGACGAUCAGCCACACUGGGACUGAGACACGGCCCAG